rnacentral:rRNA from 1 species
UACGUAGGGUGCAAGCGUUGUCCGGAAUUAUUGGGCGUAAAGAGCUCGUAGGCGGCUUGUCACGUCGACUGUGAAAACCCGAGGCUCAACCUCGGGCCUGCAGUCGAUACGGGCAGGCUAGAGUUCGGUAGGGGAGACUGGAAUUCCUGGUGUAGCGGUGGAAUGCGUAGAGAUCCGGAGGAAGACCGGUGGCGAAGGCGGCCUGCUGGGCAGUUACUGACACUGAGGCGCGACAGCGUGGGGAGCAAACAGG